UGGGGAAUAUUGCACAAUGGGCGAAAGCCUGAUGCAGCAAUGCCGCGUGUGUGAAGAAGGCCUGCGGGUUGUAAAGCACUUUUCGGUAGGGAAGAUAAUGACGGUACCUACAGAAGAAGCACCGGCUAACUCCGUGCCAGCAGCCGCGGUAAUACGGAGGGUGCGAGCGUUAAUCGGAAUUACUGGGCGUAAAGGGCGCGUAGGCGGCCCUCUAAGUCAGACGUGAAAUCCCCCGGCUUAACCUGGGAACUGCGUCUGAUACUGGAGGGCUUGAGUAUGGGAGAGGGAUGUAGAAUUCCAGGUGUAGCGGUGAAAUGCGUAGAUAUCUGGAGGAAUACCGGUGGCGAAGGCGGCAUCCUGGACCAUUACUGACGCUGAGCGCGAAAGCUAGGGGAGCAAACGGGAUUAGAUACCCCCGUAGUCCCUGAG
rnacentral:rRNA from 1 species